UACAGAGGGUGCAAGCGUUAAUCGGAAUUACUGGGCGUAAAGCGUGCGUAGACGGUUACAUAAGUCGGGUGUGAAAGCCCCGGGCUCAACCUGGGAAUUGCAUUCGAGACUGCGUAGCUAGGGUGCGGAAGAGGGAAGCGGAAUUUCCGGUGUAACGGUGAAAUGCGUAGAUAUCGGAAGGAACACCAGUGGCGAAAGCGGCUUCCUGGUCCAGCACCGACGUUCAGGCACGAAAGCGUGGGGAGCAAACAGG
rnacentral:rRNA from 1 species